GGCUCUGUGGCGCAAGGGAUCAGCAUGUCUGUCUGUUAACUAGAAGGUUGGUGGUUCGAACCCAUCCAGGGAUA